GUAUCCGGUCGCGAUAAAUCGUUUAUUGUUACAAUGUAGAAGGACUGAGUAACUUAAAGCCUUUCUGAAAUGUUUCUCCAUAAACAUGAUGGUGAGGUGGUGUUUAAAAGUGUGACUUCAGUUUACAAGGUGACAUAGACAUGGAAGCGACGCCAUCCACAAGCACAGCUAGUUCCAAAGGGUCCGUAGGGAAGAAACGACAAGUACUCUACUACAUGAUGCCCGCCGUUUUUGUUACGCUGUUCUGCUUCUGGCCCACCGGCAUCAUGGCCAUCAUGAAAGUCACAGAUAUUGAUGACGCUAGGAGGCGGGGAGACGCAAUGUACCUCCAGACGAGUAAGAGUGCCGCUUUAAAGUGGAUAGGCAUGUCAGUAUUGUUUGGAGUGGUAGUUCUCUCCUCUUUGGGCUCCAUCAUAGGAUGGCAAAUAUUCCACAAAUUGUGAGGACCAGAACUGGAAGUGAAUAGAGUCUAUGUUAUCGAAUAAUGCUUUCGCAUGAUGCAAAACAGUCAAAUGCCAUUUGCUUCUGAUUUGGUUAUACAUUCAGCAGCAUUUUAUAUUUUUAAAUAUAUUCAAUUUAAAAAGUACUUGACAUUACCCAUGUAAGUCGAUCACAUUAGCAUACCUGGUGUAUGUAUGUAGGAAUGUGAUGAAUGGUAAAUAUCAACGACUUAUACAUCUAGUGUCGAAUUAGCUGUAAACAGCAAACUGACAUUCUUGCAGCGAUUUUCUUGGUUCGUCCGUUGCUUUUUUUGCCUGCAACUAUUGUAACAUGGCUGAGUCUAAAUGAAAACUGCGUACAAAUCUUACGAUCUUUGAACACGCUCGAUUUUUUUUUUUUAUUUCUUGACAAUGACGACCGUUUGGUAGCGUUAUGAAUACUACUUGCAGUCAGAUUUUUUUGUUACUGCAGUGUAUUAAAUAACCAUGUGUUAGGAGGCCAGGAGACAAAAUUAAUUAUUCAUCGCUUUCAUUUAAUACAUGUAAUGGUAAUUGAAGUGGAAAGUUGACAUUGUUUAUUAUUCUGUUUUUAGCAUCCUACAGUGAAAAUCUGACAGAAAAGAUAUAUCGACUCUAUAAAUUUUCGCUCAGACACGUUAUCUCAAAUAAUCUCGUUUUUGGGACAAAACAAAAAUACAUAUUUAGAUGGAAUCAUCUUUAUUAGUGGUAUUUCUGCUGUCAUAAAAAUAGGCCGGCAAACUGCAUAAUGGUUCGAUUUGUAAUUUUCAAAGAUAUAUAAAAGAAAUUCUCAAGUUGAACAAUUAUUUCGUGAGAUACUCCAUGAGUUACAUCGUGAGUUACCUCGUGAGUAAACCCGUGAGCUACUUCGUGAGUUACAUCGUGAGUUACCUUGCAAGUUACCCCGUGAGUUACAUCGUGAGUUACGCCAUAAGUCACACCGUGAGUUAUGUUGUAAGUUACACUGUGAGUUGCACCGUGAGUUACACCGUUAGUUACACCGUGAGUUACAUCGUGGGUUACACUCUGAGGAAUAUUGUGAGUUACCCCGUAAGUUACAACGCGAGUUACAUCGUGAGCUACACUGUGAGGUACAUUGCGAGUUUCCCCGUGAGUUAAUAGUAAGUUAAUUUGAAACAUAUAGAACAGCGUUGAUACUGACCCAACUUUUAGAUGUACGUCUAAAGGUAGUAUGGCAUGACCAAUGGAAUGUAGAUAUACAUAGACGAAGGUUGAUGCUGUACUACACCCUUAUUGAAUUCGGAUAUGUAGUGCUACUCUUCAAGCACUGCAUAUAUGUAACAGACUUCAUUUAUAUACCUGAUCACCGGCGACCGACCCGAUCUAGUUCUACCACAGCCAAUCCCUCCAUGAACAAAGUCUUCGACCCUGAAGCAACGAGAGACCGCCUACAACAUUCCGUGUGGUUAUGUAAUUGUUAGUGAAACCAUCCAAAUGGCGAGAUCGGGAUGCGAACUUAGGACCUCUGAACUCUAGACAGACACUUUACCUUAUAAACAGCGUUCGACCCAGUCCAGUUCCGCUACAUUUAAAUAAUCUAACUAUAUAUAAUGGUUGUGCUUGCAUACGUUUUGCUUCAAGGCACGCGUGAAAAUACAAAUUAUGAUGGCAUAAAUGCAAUUUCUACCACUUGUUCGCUCUUACAAAAAUUUGAGAAAGAGGGGCUUCCUUAAAUUUUGAAAAUAUCAAACGCAGAUCAAGUACCCAUUUUUCUUUCCAUAUAUGAAAUACACAUCAAAAAAGAAAUGACAUAAGAACAAUUAGCAAAGAAAAUAAAAAAUAGCAAGUGAAACUUAUCCAGGCUUUUAUCGAAACAUUGUAUUGCACCAAAUGUCCAUUUAAUCCAUUUAGAAAUCACAGUGGUGCUAAUACAAUAUAAUGUUUUCCGAAACACAUCUAGAAAUACAGCGAAAGGGGAAAGGUGCAUUUCAUACCCCUCUAACUGUAGUAUUUCUCAAAAACCAUAGUAUUUCAGCUCAAGAUGUCCACCAGCAGAGCCUACCACCUUUUAACUUUCUUAACAAGAACGUUUAGAACUACUUGCAUCUCAUUCUCCAAAACGUGAAAACACCACAAGCUCCUUUCCGUCAACUUAUUUUUUACGUUAACUUACUUUCAUCCUCCAUAAUUUCGAUCUUUACACCCCUGGAAUACGUCAUAGCAAAAUUGAAGGCACGCGGUUAGCUAUUUGAUUGGUGUCUGAUGAAAAAACUUGACCAAUCACUAGGCUGAUACUUGUCCUUUGAAGAUUGCAGAGGAGCGACGCCCGACUUAACAGCCAGUAACGUUUACCGUUACACCACCGCGGGAUUCUUUUGCUGUACAUCAAAGGAUCAAACUAGUCCAUUUCAAUUCAAUUCAAUUUAUUGACUUUAGGCCUUAUGGCCCAUGAAUACAUAUUACAAAUUACACACAAUACAUAAUAAGAAGGUGAAACAGCAAGACAAAAGUGGAGUAGGAUUUAAAGAAAUACAGCUCUUAUCUUAUUUGCUUCAAAAUUAAAUUUGCCGAGACGGCUUAAUUCCUUGUUGUUAUUGACACACAAUAACUGUAUUAAUUGAAACAUUGAAGGUUUUUGCCAAUAGUAUUUUUUGAUAUAUUCACUUCUUAAGUCGUUGUACAUAUUACAUAUUAAUACAAAAUGAUAUUCGUCUUCUACUUCAGUAGUCGACUUACAAAUUGCACAAUAUCUCCUAUUCCGCUCGAUACCUCUAUAACGACCGGUUUCAAUUGCCAAAGAAUGUGCAGACAUACGAAGUUUUGUUAAACAUAUUCUAUAUUACUUAAGCAUAUAAUUAGUUUAAGAAACUGAAUGGAAAAAUGUUUACAAUAUGCUUAUAUAAAAAAUGAUUUCGAGGAAUUCUCUAAUAAACCUCUCAAAUAUUGUUGAGCUCGGUCAAAAAUUCUUUGACGUAUGACAAGGUCAAAUGGAUUAAGCGUUCGAUGGUGAUCGGUCUGCCAAUAUCUGUCUAUGACAGUUUAUAUAUAUGCUGAAAUUAAUGUUUUUGUACAUGUACAUGUAUGUGU
rnacentral:lncRNA from 1 species